rfam:Burkholderia glumae BGR1 plasmid bglu_1p, complete sequence.
CGCGUCUUUCGCCCAGGCGGAGAUCGGCCGCCGAUUCAGGCUCUGAAGGCCUUCGUCGAUCUACAUCGCGACAGCUUGGGGGUCGAUCCGAUCUGCAAGGUCUUGCGGAUUGCCCCG